rnacentral:rRNA from 1 species
GAUGAACGCUGGCGGCGUGCCUAAUACAUGCAAGUCGAGCGAACGGACGAGAAGCUUGCUUCUCUGAUGUUAGCGGCGGACGGGUGGGUAACACGUGGAUAACCUACCUAUAAGACUGGGAUAACUUCGGGAAACCGGAGCUAAUACCGGAUAAUAUUUUGAACCGCAUGGUUCAAAAGUGAAAGACGGCCUUGCUGUCACUUAUAGAUGGAUCCGCGCUGCAUUAGCUAGUUGGUAAGGUAACGGCUUACCAAGGCAACGAUGCAUAGCCGACCUGAGAGGGUGAUCGGCCACACUGGAACUGAGACACGGUCCAGACUCCUACGGGAGGCAGCAGUAGGGAAUCUUCCGCAAUGGGCGAAAGCCUGACGGAGCAACGCCGCGUGAGUGAUGAAGGUCUCCGGAUCGUAAAACUCUGUUAUUAGGGAAGAACAUAUGUGUAAGUAACUGUGCACAUCUUGACGGUACCUAAUCAGAAAGCCACGGCUAACUACGUG